ACGCUGGCGGCGUGCUACACAUGCAAGUCGAGCGGUAACAGGUGUAGCAAUACAUGCUGACGAGCGGCGAACGGGUGAGUAAUGCUUCGGAAUCUACCUUAUGGUGGGGAAUAACUAGCCGAAAGGUUAGCUAAUACCGCAUACGUCCUACGGGAGAAAGCAGGGGAUCGCAAGACCUUGCGCCGAUAGAUGAGCCGAAGUCGGAUUAGCUAGUUGGUGAGGUAACGGCUCACCAAGGCGACGAUCCGUAGCUGGUCUGAGAGGACGACCAGCCACACUGGGACUGAGACACGGCCCAGACUCCUACGGGAGGCAGCAGUGGGGAAUAUUGGACAAUGGGGGCAACCCUGAUCCAGCGACGCCGCGUGUGUGAAGAAGGCCUGCGGGUUGUAAAGCACUUUUAGUGGGGAUGAAAUGUGCAGGGUUAAUACCUCUGCAUUUUGACCUAACCCACAGAAAAAGCACCGGCUAACUCUGUGCCAGCAGCCGCGGUAAUACAGAGGGUGCAAGCGUUAAUCGGAAUUACUGGGGCGUAAGCGUGCGCAGACGGUUGCGNUAGUCAGAUGUGAAAGCCCC
rnacentral:rRNA from 1 species